AGUGAAGAAGGCCAGGAAGAGCAGAGGAUGGUGCCAGGAGGAUGAUGUCGGGGGACACAGGCAGCUCAUGCCUGGAUCAGGCAGUGACUGGUGUGUGUGUGUGUGUUAUGAAGAGAGAGGGAUGGAAAUUGUGACCAGAGAGUUGGAGUUGGGACCCCUGUCUUGAUCACUUGAGCAUCAGCAGCUCCAGGGAAGAACACAUUCUGAAGGAGGAACUCUCCAGCUAGGAUUUCAUCCUGUCCUAGAGGACACGAAGAGGUGGAGACCACCCCCACAACUAAACUUGAGGAUUACUAAGGCAAUGGGGACUGCCUAGGAAUAUUUUUGAGGGGGUAAAAGCACCCCAUAAUUGUGCUAAGUAACAAAAGACAGAACAAGCAGCCUUAAAACAUUCUACAUGAUACACUGGUAUUAGAAUAAUAAGAUCUUAAAGACCAUCCACUUGAAAACUGGAUUUGCCCCUGGUCAUAUGGGCAGACCCAUGGCAGACAAAGAACUAGAAGUUCCUCCUAACUCCCAACUCAAUGUCCUUUCCUUAAAGAAUAACUGUUCUUUAUUAUAAAUAGGCCAAGCUUUUAUUAUUUAGUAUAGAACUCAGGCUGAUAUUUUUAUUGAUGGAUUAAAAUUUGAAUUAUUUCUGUAGCAUAGUAUUUAAAAGUUUUCUUCUACAUAUUUGUUAUCAUUUUCUAGCAAAUAUCCUCAAAAUUGAAAACUGCAACGUCAAUGAAAUCAGUGAGCACACUACCAUCCUUCUAAUGGGAGGUCUAAUUUAUCAUUCAUGCAUAGUAAAAAAAAAAAGCAUAAUAUUUAAAUGUGUACUCUGUGAUUGUUUAUAAAACUAUUUAAGUAUAAAUAUUCCAAACAAAGCACUUAGCUUAUAAAUGAACUUAAAUCCUCAAAGUUAGGAUUUAAGUCACUCGUUUGGAAUUUGUUACAUAUUUUUCCUUUGUAAUAGUUGGUGACCAUAUUCUUAAGGCAGCCCACAAAAGUCUAGUAAAUUCCCUACUGUGGCUCCAGUGUUUACAUUUGUAAUGGAAACGUGUUGAAAAUGAAUACUAAUGUAGUGCUAGUCAUGGAAAGUAUUUAAAACACAAAGUAAAAGGAUUGGACACAUGAGUUUUCAAGUCGCUAGGAAGGGAGAAGGUAAUGGGUUAAUAUUAGGUCAUAGAGUUCUAUGUCUGGAUGCUAGGUGGCGCUAUUGAACCAGAACAGCUCGGUUAUUUGCCAAGUCAAGGGUUUAUAGAGGGAUGCUCAUAUGACUGUUCCUAUUACACAUAUUCACAUGUUCCUUGUCUUUCAUGUGCUUAUUUAUUUUGGCCCUUACCACCACUGAGAUUUUAGCUCCUAAAAAUUAUGACUAGAAAAAUACUGAUGGCUCACAGCAUGUCUUUAAGAGUUAAGGAGAAAAAGUGUUCAGAAAUACAUUAAUAUUCACUGCUCAGAAAUAUGUGAGUCUUGCCCCUUACUUACACAUUUUUGUGGAUGACUAUGGAUCAUUCUCUCAACUUCUCUGGGCUGGCUUCAGUUUCUCAUUUUUACUUUUAUUUUAUUUUUGAAACAAGGUCUUGCUCUGUCACCUAGGCUAGAGUGCAAUGGGUGCGAUCAUCAUAGCUCACUGCAGCCUCGACCUCCCCAAGGCUCAGGUGAUCCUCCCACUUCAGCCUGCCCAGUAGCUGGGACCACAGGCACAUGCCAUCAGGCCUGUUUUUUUUUUUUUUUUUUUUAGAUGGAGUCUCACACUGUCACCUAGGCUGGAGUGCAGUGGUGCAAUCUCUGCUCACUGCAACCUCUGCCUCCCAGGUUCAAGCAAUUCUCCUGUCUCAGCCUCCAGAGUAGCUGGGAUUACAGGCACCUGCCACCAUGCCCAGUUGAUUUUUUGUAUUUUUAGUAGAGAUGGGGUUUCACUAUGUUGGCCAGGCUGGUCUUGAACUCCUGACCUCGUGAUCCACCCACCUUGGCCUCCCAAAGUGCUGGGAUUACAGGUGUGAGCCACCACGCCUGGACUUUUUUUUUUGUAUUUUUAGUAGAGACGAGCUUUUGCUAUGUUGCUCAGGCUAGUCUCAAACUCCUAGCCUCAAGUGAUCUGUCUGCCUUGGCUUCCCAAAAUGGUAGGAUUACAGGUGCAAGUCACUAUACCUGGCCUCAGUUUCUCAUUUUUAAAAGGUGAUAAGUAAUAAACAAACAUAAUAAGGAUUAAUCAAUAAAAAAUAAUUAUGUAUAAGAUGACAUAUGUGAUCAUAUGUAAUAAUUAUGUAUAUGUUCAACCAGUGAGGUUGCUUCUACCGAGUAAACCUGCUGGGGCCUUGGUGCUCCCUAAUUCAAACUCAUGGUCAGGAUUGAGCAGUGUUUUCUGAAUGCCCACUCCACAGUACUUGUCCUAAUAUCAGCAGCUGCGCACCGGCUGGAAGAAAUACCAAGCAUAUUCUCUUGGUUAUCCAUCUUGCUAAAACUCUAAUUUUUAUUUCAUCUCAAGUACUUACUAUCCUAAGCUUCUGAGAUACUCUAUUCUGUCUCCAUAAAAUGCAAAUAUUAACAUAAAAUGACUGUUUAAAAAAAGUUCUAAAGGCUAAGUUUCUCCAAUAUUUUUGGUAGGAGACAAAUUUACUUGAUGUCAGCAUAUAUUUCUACAAGAAAGGAACAGAAGAAAAGACAGUUACGCUGUUAUUGAGAAAGGUUAUUAACCUGUCUAAAUGGAUUUGAUACACUAGAGUGCUUUUAUCAAAUGGAAGUUGGGCCAGAGAGAAUUCAUCACAAGGAUGGCUCUUUCAUACUCACGCAUGUUUCCAUCAAUGGAGUCCAGGUGCACACACACGGAUUCAUUUGUACCCACCCCAACAACAUGCUCAAGACAAGGCUGAUGGAAAAUGUUGCCAGUUUCAGUUUCCAGCAACAUGCUCAAGACAAGGCUGAUGGAGAAUGUUGCCAAUUUCAGUUUCCAUAGGGAGAAAUGGAGCCAUUAAGCCUUUGGAACAUGGUGCUUUUAUGUCUGAACAUGAAGCUCAAGAUUUUGGCAUCUGCAGCUCCUGGUUCUAACUUUCCUUUGCAAGCCCAGGGAACUAACUGCCCUUUGUCAUCAGAAGAGAUCAUUUCACUCCUUUAUUUCCUGAGGCCUUUUCAAGGUGAGUAGCCCUGGACACAGACCUCUCAUGGAGAAGAGCUUGCUUACAAAUGAAGUUACCUGGGUCUUUGUAGAUACUGAGCACGCCCUUGAAGUAAUGAGGUAAAAAUCUUUCCAGUAACAGCAGCACAUCUUCCAACUCUUCAAGAAUCCCCACGAGCAGGAAGUUUUCAUUCACGUUCAGCUUUGCUCUCUCAAGGGCCCAUUCACCAGGCUCCCUUUAUGGAUAUAAAAAUUUAUUUAAAAUCAGACAUUCAUAUUUGAAAUGCAGCAAGAUGCUGAGAGUUUACCCCCUCUACCUCCCACCUUCACUUGCAUAAGUCCAAAUCCUGUUUCCCUCAAGGACCAGCCCAGAUGUAGCCCCAUCCAGGGCCUUCCCAGUCCUUCCAACUGGUGUCCUGCCCUGCUCACCAUUCCUUCUCUGUCACUUUCAUCCAUGCUUCAUGCCAAGCCCAGGGCCUUGAAUUCAGAGGCCCUGCCUAAGUAUUGUGGACGAAUGAAUGCAGGCACAAGCAGUUAGGUUCUAACAAAUACUAAUCAAGGGGUGAGUAGAAUGGUUUUUUAAUAGGAGGACCAAACUGAACCAAUUAAAUGAAUUUAGGAGUUUUGAAAUAUGAAACUUACCGACAUAGUAUUUAUGUAGAACUCAAAAGAGCUGUCAGGUCAUGCCUAUUAAUCAUCUUAUUCUUUGGAAGAGUUAAAGAGGAAUCUUUGGAUUUUUGUUUUGUUUUAUUUUGUUUGUCUAGAUUGCAGAAGGAAAACAGCCUAAUUUGUAAAAAUCAGAGA
rnacentral:lncRNA from 10 species